GGCAAGUCGACCAAAGGCGAAAGCAGUCAUCAAGGGCAUACCCGUUGAUCAAGAGCGAAAGUUAAGGGCUCGAAGACGAUCAGAUACCGUCGUAGUCUUAACUAUAAAUGAUACUGACCAGGGAUGUGACUCUGUCCAUUCCGACUCCUUACGGACCUUAGAGAAAUCAAAGUCUUUGAGUUCUGGGGGGAGUAUGGUCGCAAGGCUGAAACUUAAAGGAAUUGACGGAAGGGCACACAAAGAGUGGAACCUGCGGCUUAAUAGCUAGGCCGCAAAAGUCGACUAAAGCACACGACACUGAAAGGAGUAAUGGGGCAAGGUGGAGUGUGCUUUGGUUCGGCUAGUUGACCCACCAACAAGGUUGAGAGGUGGGCAGCAAGACAACCUGGUACGAGGGAACUCUGGGGUCAACGGCUUGUAAGGGCCUAUACCCAGACAAUCUCGUGGCGAGCUGCUGGUGGGUAACUGCUGGAUUGGCCGUCGUAACGCGCGGAAAGGUGUCGGGCAGUCCCCAGCAAUGGGGGUUGCCUUAAGGAACGUGCUACUCCCACCCGUGAGGGUGCUCUGAAGUAAGGUCUCAAUCACCCCAGAUCAGAGGACUGAUGAUCCCUAUAGGAAAUGAUAGGAAGAGUUGGUACCAAGGUAAUUUGACUCAACACGGGAAAACUCACCAGGUCCAGAUACACGUAUGAAAGACAAGCUGAUAGACUUUUCUCAAUGAUGUAAGUGGUGGUGCAUGGUCGUUCUUAGUUCGUGGAUUGAUUUGUCUGGUCUAUUCCGAUAACGAGCGAGACCCCUUCGUUCCUACUAGGGGCGGCAGCCCGGCUUACCAUGCCUUCGCGGGUGAGGUCUGCUAGCAGCCGCCUAAGAAUCACUUCUUAGACGUAUCAGGGCCGAUAAGGUCCUUGAAAUGGGUUAAUAACAGGUCAGUCAUGCCCUUAGAUGUUCUGGGCCGCACGCGCGUUACAAUGGUAAACAUUAGAACGUGCUCCUCCGGGGCUUCUCCACUGCCGACGGGCAGUGGUAACCCCUAGUCUCUUCCUUGACUGGGACAGACUAUUGCAAUUAUUGGUCUCCAA
rnacentral:rRNA from 1 species